rnacentral:rRNA from 1 species
UACGGAGGGUGCAAGCGUUGUUCGGAAUUACUGGGCGUAAAGCGCACGUAGGUGGGUGUGCAAGUCAAUUGUGAAAUCCCAAGGCUUAACCUUGGAAUUGCAGUUGAAACUGCAUAUCUUGAAUGCUUGAGAGGGUGACGGAAUUCCUGGUGUAGAAGUGAAAUUCGUAGAUAUCAGGAGGAACACCGGAGGCGAAGGCGGUUACCUGGCGAUGCAUUGACACUGAGGUGAGAAAGCGUGGGGAGCAAACAGG